GAUGAACGCUGGCGGCGUGCCUAAUACAUGCAAGUCGAGCGAACGGACGAGGAGCUUGCUUCUCUGACGUUAGCGGCGGACGGGUGAGUAACACGUGGAUAACCUACCUAUAAGACUGGGAUAACUUCGGGAAACCGGAGCUAAUACCGGAUAAUAUUUUGAACCGCAUGGUUCAAAAGUGAAAGACGGUCUUGCUGUCACUUAUAGAUGGAUCCGCGCUGCAUUAGCUAGUUGGUAAGGUAACGGCUUACCAAGGCAACGAUGCGUAGCCGACCUGAGAGGGUGAUCGGCCACACUGGAACUGAGACACGGUCCAGACUCCUACGGGAGGCAGCAGUAGGGAAUCUUCCGCAAUGGGCGAAAGCCUGACGGAGCAACGCCGCGUGAGUGAUGAAGGUCUUCGGAUCGUAAAACUCUGUUAUUAGGGAAGAACAUAUGUGUAAGUAACUAUGCACAUCUUGACGGUACCUAAUCAGAAAGCCACGGCUAACUACGUG
rnacentral:rRNA from 1 species